UUAUCAUUGCAAGUAAUUAACCUUCACAACAAAGCUGUGUUUUUUUUUCUGCUGCUAAAUUUCAAGUAAAAAUGCAUAAAAACAGGAAAAUUCUUCAAUUUUCCUGGGAAAGUCAAGUCCCUACCGAUGGAGUGGCACGUUUUCGGUCCGAUUACUACCGAAACCCAGUGGAAUCGGCCGAAUCACAGAACGAUUGCACCGCGAUGAAUGGACAGGACUGAACGGAUCCAGUUUUGAAGGUCGAGAUGUCGCAUGCAGCCCCGGGAUGGAAUAUUAUAAUCUUAUUAAGUGAAUAAAUACUAUGCAGGUUUUAAGUGUGCGGCAGGCCACACCCCUAAAGA